rnacentral:lncRNA from 1 species
AGUCAGUGGAAAGGAAAGUCUUGGGAUAGAGCGUGCCGUUGGAGUUGAGAACAUUGCUCUCUCCCUGCCUCUUUAUUAAAUCCCCCAAAAUAAAACUUCUUUCUUUAAAAAAAAAUCUAAUCCUGGAAGUUUGCUCGGCACAAAAGACAUGGACUUUACAUAUGUCAAAUCAUCAUCCCAGCCUGGUGCUCCACAGAACAUUAUACUGCCAUGGAGAAUUUCUGGAUGCAGGGAUCACCACCCUUUUGAGGUGGAAAUUUCAGCGAGUAGAAACAAGAAGAUAGGUGGCAGACUGUUGACAGCGUGAAACCAGCACCUCCACAAGUUUCACAUAGCCCUUUCUUCCCUUUCUUCCACGGCAAUCCCUGCCAACGUUAUGCCUAGAGUGCGAGCGG